ACUCCUUAGGUUAGUUUACAUAUGCCUCAGCAAACUGUAGUGGUUUUUUCAUAUUGGCCUUUGAGAUGAAAAACUUUUCACGGCCAACAAGACCUCUCAGGUUGUUCCUGCAUGCUGCUCUCCGGACAGUGUCUGUCCUGACAGGUCUUCUAAUUUAAAUUAGGUUAAUUUGUUCGGAGGAAUUCAAGGUGUACACUCAAUUUUGCGAUGCCUAGAAUAGAGAUUGUUUUCAUUUUUUAAGAAUAAACCAUCAACAGAAAACUUUUCGCGGAACUUUAUUGCACGUACAGCUAGUUAAAUGUGUGAAUAGUUAAUAUGCAUCAAUGAAUGUAUUCAAAAAAAAUAAUUAUACCCAAUGAAUGGAAAGUAUCGUCAAGUACCAUUUGUACACUCAAUUUUGAGAUAGACUUUAUAUGCUGAGCAAGAAAGCUGAAGAUUGUGGAAGGUGCUGGAAAUAUCGUUGAACACUACAAAACCCGUCGACUCGUUCACAGAGGACCCAUCAAUAAAUUACCAAUUAUGGCAAUUGAUUCGACCAUAUUUUGCAUCGAAGAUCGUUGGGAUGAUGGAAUUGAUGUAGUCAGGAAUACAAACAUAGUUGGGAACAAUGGAAGAAGGAUUAACCUGCAUGGAGAUGAAUUCAUGGUAUGAGCUCAGAAAACCAAAGUGAAUGUUUAGCUCGAUCAGUUACUCAAAAAUUCCGAUCAUCAAUGGAUUCGUAAUCUUACACCGGAACCGAAGAGGCAACAAAUUGAAGCGAUUUUUUGGUGGGAGUACGCAUACCAAAACCACGGGACUAAUGGAUUCACCCAUGAUGACGUAAACUGUAUGUUUGUAUGUGUGUUUUUGUUUUCAUAAAUUCAUUCUUAUUUUCCCCCAACGUCCCCUAUAAUCAGAAAAUCUGUAACAGCGAGUUGCAAGCGAUGUUGAAUACGCCUCCAUACAACUUGCACACGACUAAAUAUGGCAAACGGCGAUUCCCUUCAAUCUUGCAUGCUAUAAUCGAUACAUCCAGAGUUGCCAGAUGUGAUAACAUGUCUUCAUUUAGCAGACAUUUGAAUUGGCGAAGAUAUUUUGAAGUCGUAUUAGAACACAAGAAAAUCUUUCUACGUUUCUCUCAAAAUCCCAAAAAAUACCGAAACUUGUUAUCAUCUAUUCGGAUUGCAGUGCCAGUCGCUUAAUUCACAGUGUUACUCGUUUCCUUUUCUUUUCAAAUUAACAAAUUUUUCAUUUAUCUCUCUCGCCGAUUACUUUUUGUUCAUGACUCCAAAUUUGGGCUGAAUCUCAUGGGUUGAAUGAUGUUAUUCUUGGUAGCCAGUUUUGACUUUUAGCAUGAGCAGGAAACUGACAAACACACGUAUUGCAUGCUCGGGUACUUUUUAGAAAAUUCAGAAUUUUUCUACAAAUUUCCCGGUUUCCAGCAUUCUUUCUACGCUGAAAAGGUUAGCAAAUAAUCAUUGUACAUUGUUUCGUUCAUAACGCAUGAAGGAUGGUUUGGUAUAAGUGUUGUAAUUUACAUUGUUUUCCUAGGUAAACAAUGCGUAGCAUGUGUUGCGCUCCAAAUACUGCAGAUCCUUCUCGUAUCGACCGAAUGGAAUCCCCUGCAUAAUCAAUGAUAUCAACAAACAUAAUUGCAUCGCCAUUAUCCACAGAAUGAGCUUCUGAAAAAUGUCCGGAAGUUAGUACUCAUAACCUGUAUGCAUCAAAUCGCCUGUGCAAAAUCUAACUUUCUCACCAUUUACUGACGACAUUUAAUGAUUAAAAUGAAUUCAAAUGGAAACUAAUAUAAAUAAUCACGACCGAACUCGCUUUUUAGCGCGUAAAAAUACAAACAUCUUCACCUUUGUGGUUCUGAGCUCUAUUGUAGGUGUCACAUAAGCUGAUGCUUUAGAUUCGUCAAUUGUCUGUCCAGUGAUUUAGAACCGGAUUCCGCAGUGGUCGCUUGCUUUGAAGACAUGAUAUUGUCAAGGCUAGAAAUCUUUUUCAAAUUUAUUAAUAAAGCUUAAAUUUCAGGUCAACAAAAUAAACAAGAAAAUAGUUUUCUUGCUGUCGAUAGUUUUUUUCAUAUUUUGGAACAAAUAAUAGUCAGAUGUGAAACGACUUUGUUGUGCAUCUUUGGCCGAGUGAUUAGCGUCUCACAUUAUCAUGCCGAAUGAUCGGGUUUGAUUCCUGUUCUGGUCGUGGGAUUUUUCGUCGAUUCAAGCGAAUGCCAAACGCAAAGGAACAUACCGAUCUUGCACAGAUCAGAAGUAUUAUAUUCUUCCAGGUGCUACACAAACAUAUGCUUCGUCCAUGCUACCGCAACGUUAAACAACCUAAUGAGUUACUUGGUAUUUGUGCAGAUUUCAAUGCUGCUCUUACAUACGAAUUAUAUACCAUUUCACAUUGCACUUCAAUACUUCGAGUUGUUUGUUAUUUUGAAAAUAGUAAUAACAGAAACCUUAUCGCAACUGCCUCUGCUGAGCCUACCAUCGACGAAUAAUGCCCCAGUCAGUAUUUCCAUUCCGUUAAGAACAGCCAAAUCAAUCAGCAGUUCCGUAGGAUGCGAUUCGGGGUUCACCUUAUGCUGCUCGCUUUCAUCAUGCUGCCUAUUGGUAAUCAAGCGUUAGACAUGAACACAACGGAAUCACCUGAACAAGUCGUAAAUAGCACGAGACCACAGGAGCCACUAAAGGCGAUCUUCACGGUGCCAAUAGAACAAACAGGACUCACAUGUUCGUAAUCAGGCAUCGGAACCAUACGCAACAGAAUCACCUGAACAAGUCGUAAAUAGUGCGAGGCAACAGGAGCCACUAAGGUCGAUCUUCAGGGUACCAAAACAACAAACACAACUCAAGUGCUCGGCAAGUUGUCAGCAGGGGGAGAAAUGUGUCGAUGGACGGUGUCGUAAGGGCUUCCAAUUUCAGAAUAAACAGUUAUAGGGAAAGUGAGACCUUUUAUGUGUAAUAAACUUAUUUCAAACAA